rnacentral:rRNA from 1 species
GACGAACGCUGGCGGCGUGCCUACUACAUGCAAGUAGGACGCCGUGGAACGGGUGAGUAACGCGUAGGUAACCUGCCUAUUAGAGGGGAUAACUAUUGGAAAUGAUACCUAAACCGAUACUAGUAGACGGACCUGCGUUGUAUUAGCUAGUAGGUAGGGUAAGGGCCCACCUAGGCGACGAUACAUAGCCGCCCGGAGAGGUGGAUCGGCCACACUGGGACUGAGACACGGCCCAGACUCCUACGGGAGGCAGCAGUAGGGAAUCUUCGGCAAUGGACGAAAGUCUGACCGAUCAAGGCCGCGUGAGUGAAGAAGGUUUUCGGAUCGUAAAACUCUGUUGUUAGAGAAGCUGUAUCUAACCAGAAAGCCACGGCUAACUACGUGCCAGCCGCCGCGGUAAUUC